rfam:Otolemur garnettii contig137101, whole genome shotgun sequence.
GUCUACGGCCAAACCACCUUGAACGUGCCCAAUCUCAUCUGAUCUCAGAAGCUAAGCAGGGUUGGGCCUGGUUAGUACUUGGAUGGGAGAAACUUUAGCCAAGCAUGGUGGCAGGCACCUGUAGUCU